GGGGGUGACUAGAUUCGACAGUGAGCCCUGUGUUUAUGUGCAAAGUGGCAGUGAGAAGUCUGCCUUAUCACUUUCUCAAAACAAUAAGUGUAAAUAAAAUUACGCGCGGAGUUCUCUCACCUUUACAGGCGAAGGACUUCGGCUUCGCUUACGCGUAACCGCCUAAGCGACCAUCAAACUACCUGACUUCCGAUAUGGUAAUGCGAUGUCAAACCUUCGGGAUAGGAAUAGUGACUUGACCCGCCACUUUUCCAAAACUAAGGGUAUCGAUAUAGUGUGAUUUUGUUUACUCUUAACACACCAUAUUUAAACUUAGAAUAAACUACACUUUGUAGACGCAUUCUUGCAGACUUUCAUGGACGGGGUUUCAUAACCCCCACCUCCACAC
rnacentral:tmRNA from 1 species